GAUGAACGCUGGCGGCGUGCUUAACACAUGCAAGUCGAACGGGAAACCUUUUAUUGAAGCUUCGGCAGAUUUCGCUGGUUUCUAGUGGCGGACGGGUGAGUAACGCGUGGGUAACCUGCCUUAUACAGGGGGAUAACAACCAGAAAUGGUUGCUAAUACCGCAUAAGCGCACAGGACCGCAUGGUCCGGUGUGAAAAACUCCGGUGGUAUAAGAUGGACCCGCGUUGGAUUAGCUAGUUGGCAGGGUAACGGCCUACCAAGGCGACGAUCCAUAGCCGGCAUGAGAGGGUGAACGGCCACAUUGGGACUGAGACACGGCCCAGACUCCUACGGGAGGCAGCAGUGGGGAAUAUUGCACAAUGGGGGAAACCCUGAUGCAGCGACGCCGCGUGAAGGAAGAAGUAUCUCGGUAUGUAAACUUCUAUCAGCAGGGAAGAUAGUGACGGUACCUGACUAAGAAGCCCCGGCUAACUACGUG
rnacentral:rRNA from 1 species